GAUGGUAGAGAUGGAGAAGCCAAGAUCCGAGGCCAGAGGCCCAAGCCAUCUCAAUCGCAAAACCGGCACAAAAUGGGCAACGCCGGAAAUAGAGGACCACAAAAUUGGCGAUAGAGGGCCACACCGAGACGACUACAAGAUUAUCAAUGUGUGCAUGCAGAACAAGCUCUGCGUUCUAGGAGCAUGGCUCCCCGAAAGCGAGACUUCAGUCACGUGUCCCGGCUCCCGGGCACGUUGACUGCAUUGCGAACGUCCUCGGAACAAACGAUCGGGUUGGAGGUGGGACGACAGUGGGCCACGGAGAGACUCCUCGUCAAACAUGCGACGAUCGAUGGCGACGGAAGAGGAAGCGCGGGCAUUGACAACGCUGGAACUUCACUCGACUGGCCAACACGAUUCAUCUCGGCAUUCAAGGCUGGCAUGAGAGAGCAAUUCAGCAGAGCGAUGCUGGGGUGGGACAGAUCGGCGGAUGAACAACAGCUAGUACAGCGACUGAUUAGCUCUGACAUCAAGACUAGAUGUCGCUUAUAGUAGAUAAACUUCAAAAUAAGCUGCGGUAAUACAGAUAUAGUAGUAAGGAAGCUGCCUGAGGGAAUGAGCAUUCGGCAGUCAAGCGCCUGAACAACGGCAUAGAGAUGUCCGCCCACCUAAAAAAUGUCAACAUUGGUAAAGUAUUUAUUUCGAACAUAAUCUCGCGUUUUCCCCACUUUUACGACACUUACUGUUGUUGCUUGAGUAACAGCAACUGUCUGGAGUAGGGACAAAAUGUCUUACUUGGCUACAUUCCCUAAAACAUGCACAAUUUAAAUUUUUAUUACUCGUUUUGAUUACCGCUGCCAUUUCUUGCAAAUCUCGGACUAUAGCGCCAGUUAUCGGCCAAUUACAAAAGCUAAACAUCAACCACACAAGAGGCAGAUGCCCCUUUGUUUGAAUUAGUUGCAGAAUGUGCACAUGUAACUAAGUAAGUGUACCAACAAUUUACAAGUUUACCCAUUCUGACUAAGGCACCAUUUGUAAAUUGAUUCUUGCUAUAAUCAAAUAUGCCAUGGUAUUACAAUGUAUUCAAAUCCAAUUUUCUAUGCUAUAACUGCCUAAAUUCUUAGUGUUUCUCAAGUUGCUGUAAUCAGUAAUAAUAUCCGCUGUGAGGACAACUGUGCAAGGCCAAGACUGUGAUAAUGCCAGUAAAUGAACGAAGCUACCACUGGAUACUUUGGCACUUCAAAUUGCGGUACCUUCAGGAUGUGCACCAGGCUGCGAGU